rnacentral:lncRNA from 1 species
GGACAUGUAAAAUUAUUUACACAGGUGAUGAAUAGCACACAGGCAGUUGAAAAAAACAUUUUAGAAAAAAUACUAGAUUCAAAAGAUAAUAGAAUAUUUACAGGAAUAUAUCAGGGUGUUUUACAAAGAUACAAUGAAGUAAUAACAUAUGGGAAUACUAUAAACAUAAAUAAAAAUCGUAUAUUUUCAGAAGUAUUUGAGGGAAUAUCGAUGUACAAUGACGACAAUCAUAUGACACACAAGUUUGAUUUCAAUGAACAUAAUAUAUAUCCGAAAAUAAAAGUCCAAACAACUAAAAAUAAUCAUCACGAAUAUGAGCGAAGUUAUGCAAAAAAAUAGCUGAAUGGCAAAAAAAUGAUAAUCCAAUGUUAUUCUCUACAGAUAAUUUGAGUUUUGCAAUUAAUAAUCAUCAAAAAGUAAAAAAUAGUCAACACAUAGCACCAUCAAUAGAUGAAUCUGACUUAGAUUAUUUAAACGAUAUUAUUAAAAACGUGAUAAAAAGUAGAAAUAACGAAAAUUACAUUAAAAUUAAAGAUGUUUGCAAUUUACAUAAUUAUGAUGAAGAUGAUUAUCUAAAGACAAAAAAGUCUUUUAUAAGACCUAAUACAAAAUUAAACUCAGAAACUACAAAUGACAACAUUGAAAUGUAUGAAAUAAAUGCACCAAUACUACGAUAUAAUAAAGAUGAAAGUGAAAUAGAGCACAUAAAUAUUAAAAAGCCUAUGAGAAAACAUUUUAUAAACAAUACUCAUGAUGCACAUGUAAAUCUAGAUGAUUUAAAUUUUUAUAAAAAUUUGACUAUAAAUAAAAAACAAGUUUUAACAUUGCUUAAUAGAAGGAAACGAAGAAAUUUAUUUAAAAGAGCUUGUCAUAAAGUUAAAAAGCAUAUAAGUGUUAAAUGGGCGGCUGAAUACUUAUUACGUGCAAUUUUACUCACAAUUGCUACUCCUUUUUUAUGUAUUUGUGCUAUAUAUAUGAUACUAAAGUUAACAUAUAUUGGUGCAAAAGAUCCUAUAGAAUAAAACUCCCUUCAAGAUUGCAGUUAAAGAAAACCGUAGGUAUAGCUUAUUUAUGUAUAAUUAUAUUAUUACUAUUAUAUUAUUACUAUUAUAUUAUUACUAUUAUAUUAUUACUAUUACUAUAAUUACUAUUAUUACUAUAAUUACUAUAAUUACAAUAAUAAUAAUUAUUAUUAUUAUUAUUAUUAUUAUUAUCAUCAUCAUUUUUUUUUUUUUUUUUUUUAUUUUUUUUUUUUUUUAUAUUAGUAAUUAUGUGUUGUCAAUUUAGUUUAAUACUUUAGUGUAGUUAGUAAUUGCAUAUGUUUGUAUUUUAUUACAUUUUUUAUCAAUCUGCUUUUUCUUUUUCUUUUUUUUUUAAAUAUAUACUUUAUAUAUAUACGUUCAUUAUUUUAAAAAUUAUCAAUGUUUUUAUUUUUGUGUAGUUUAACCUUUUAUAUUAUCAUGUAUUAUAUGUUUUUUUUGUAUUUGUAUGUGUGCCAUGUAUAUAUAGUUCGUUUAUAUUAGGCGCAUGAAAAAGUAGCUUUUAAUGCUUCGGUUGUUUCCCAAUUUUAUUUGGCAAUAUACAACAUUCAGCGUGUUUGUAUAAAAUUAAUUUUAAAAAAUAUAUCAUAACAUAUAUUUAAAAGUGUUGUCUUAUUACUGUACGUAUAUAAAGUGUUAAAAAUAAAAAUAUAUGAAAAAAAAGAAAAUCUAAUAAG